GCAAAACAAUUGGCCAGAUCGACUACUCAAACUAUAUGGAUCGGCUGUUCAAAACAUCUCAAACUCUUGGCCUCUUAACACUCUCUACACCAGUGGUUCCUAAUUGGUAAACAGUGGAUUCAUCUGUCUCAGACUUGUGUUUUUUUCCCGCAUUAAGGGUGCGAGGGCGCACAAAAUUUCGGCAACGGCAGGUACUGCUAAUAAAUUUUCCAUCUCAAAUCCUAAUAAUAUGGCUUAGCUAAACAUCCAUUUGCUGUUGCUACUUAUUUUUCAUUGCUAAAUAUGUCAAAAUUUUCAAGGUAAUAAAUAAUGCAUUUUUUUGCAUUAAACAUCCAUUUGCUGUUGUAUGGGUCACUCUUUUCCCUUUACAAUUUAAUUUUUCUGCAUCUCAACAUUCAUGCCCACUCAGGCAAUUUUGGCAAGUAUGUAGAUAGUGGUAUUUGGAACCCGUGUAAAGUUUGUUAUUACUAUAGCAGUCAGACUUCAAACUCCUAAGGUUGGGGAAUAGCAACAACCUAAGUUGUUCUCUAUAAUUAUAGUUUUAGAGAACCCCGAUUUCCUUCUCAACAAAAUUGUCUUUGUAUUACUUGCGCUUCGACGAAUGCUUCCCACCUGAUUGGUAAUGAAUUUACAUAUCAUUUUAAUUGUACUAGUCAUCCGGGCUACAAUUAAUAACCAAUACCAGGCACUAUGAAAAGUAAAGGUCUCACUUCUUAGGGAAGUUCAUUGUUUUUGUGCUUCUGAUUAACUUUUCUUUAUAGUUUUGGCAAGAACCAACUGUUGUAGUGCAUCCAUGUAGUUUAUUUGCCAUUUCCACCCCACGCAGUUGUGAUUGGUAAACGAAUUUGAAGGGCAGUCAUGCUUGGUAAUUUCAUCCAUGCUUGGAGGAAAGUGCAAAAUUGACUCCCUAUGUAUGCUAUCGAAUCCUUUUUAAUUGCUCUAUUGUAGUGUUGAAAUUGUAUUCAUUUGUUUUUCAAUGUUGCAGCCUCUCCUACUAGCUGUACUUCAGAUUUCUCUCCACACUCAUCAAGUGACUCCAACAACUACCAACUAUGUGUUGAAAAUUACCACAAGUAGGUAUGUUGUCAUUGCUAUCUG
rnacentral:lncRNA from 1 species